CGACCGAUCAAAGUUGUGAUGAUUGAAAAAAAAAAUGUUCAUACAGUUUCCAUCAUUUACAAGACAAAGUUGUGCAUCGCCACUCAGUAGAGACAUGAAGUUGACUUUCGUCCUUGUUUUCGUUUUCACGCUGUGUGCCAUGUUUCACUUUGGCAGCACCAGACCUGGUGGUGGAAUUUGUAGUUAUCCACCUUGUGCCAUCCCGUUCAAUGUGCCGUACGAUGUAGCAUACUAUCGCCUUUACGGACAGACAUAGUCAAAAGCUGCAAGCUACAGUGAAAUAAAAUGUCAAUUGGUGCUUCGAACAAUGAAAUUCCUAUACUCCUGGUGAACAUGCUUUCUUGAUUCGUCCAUUUGAGCCAUACAUAUAUACAUCAAAUUUGAUAAAAAAAAAUAUAUCUGACCAAUGGGUUCUCCGUAUUAAUUGCGUCUGUCCACAGCACGAUUCUACGCAGAAAUUACAUAACGUUCCCACAACUUUUGCAAGUUGAAUUAGUUUUUUGUUUCAGAGAAUCGGUAUUAUACUGAUAUUGAAAAUAUUAUCCAUAUGCUUAGCCCGUUUUCAAUUGUUCCAGUAGUUUUAUCUAUACACCUGUUGCACAGACAAACAGACGUCUCACUCUACUCACUUCUCAUCGUUACCCUUUUUAACGGUUAGUUCAAAUAUUGUGUAGUUCGCAAAUCGCUCGGUCACGGCGCUCGCAUCGUUUUUGUUCUUGUUCGACGUUUGCUGACUACUGCCACCUACUGAGUGGUUUGUGUAACAUAGUCUGGUUAGCAUUGGGCGAUUAUGUUUUCGUGACGAUGAUUUUUAUCGCAAUUUGUUCCAAAUGAUACGUCUGUUUGUCUGUGCCUGUUGGUUACAGCUAAAGCAAAGACAAACAUACGUAACACCUACAACUUUUUUCGUAAAAAUCCAUCGUCUUGCUCACACUAUGAUCACCUGGUGGACAUGACGCACGAAACACUGCGUUGUGCAACAUCGUCAGCAGAAGGCGCUUGGGUGAAACGUCAAACGCAAAGAAAAACAAUGAACACGCCUCUGGUUUUGAAGGCCACAACUAUGAAGAUUUUAUAUAAUCGUUAAAAACAUGGUCGAUGGGAAUUUCGCCGGAGUAACGUUUGGUUGUCUAUGGUUAAAGCAUGUAAAAUCUAAUUAUGGCGUAUAAGCUACCGUGUUUCCAUAAGGGUAUUGAUUAACCUCUGUGAGCGCUGUAACAUUUGCGCAGUGGAGGUAAUUCUCAGCUUUCAAAUAUUCACAUUUCUACAUUAGUUUCUUCCAAAAAUGAUGAUGCACCACAUAUUCGCGAUUCUUGUAGUCGUUUUAUCGUUGAUGAGCUUGAAUCAAGAGACAGUAGACGCAUUCAGAAAAAAGCGGCUAGGAUAUGUAGGCGAUAUCAACGGUUGUAAUUGGAUCAGUUGUGAUUUUGACAAGCUUCGUGAAGAUUCAAUAAACAAUAUGUAGUCUUGUAGGCAUGGAUUUUUUUUUAUUGAAAGGACACGAUACCAAACAUAUAAAACCAUUUAGAUUUUUUGAUGUGUGUAGUAUUAAAUUCAACAAACUUAGGGGAAUGAUGCGCGUCUUCGAAGCAGAACUACUUUCAGUGAUUUAACAGGAAUUUGUGAAGUAGUACCAAAUCAUACAGAAAAACUUGUAGUUAGAAGACACAGAAGUUGCUAAUUGACAAAAUGAGAGAUGAAUUUGUGGAAAAAAAAUCGCGAUCUUGUGGGAUUCGAACCCACGACCCCGUAUUCGCUAGACCGGUGCUUUAACCAACUACGACACAGAUGUCAAUCCACAACACACCCGCGUAUGUGCCCAGUAGACCACCUCACGGCGAAAUUCUAUCUCUUUCGCACUUUCAGAGAGUUUGAAAACAACAGGAC